rnacentral:rRNA from 1 species
UACGUAGGGGGCAAGCGUUGUCCGGAAUUAUUGGGCGUAAAGAGCGCGUAGGCGGUCCGAUAAGUCGGCUGUGAAAGUCAAGGGCUCAACCCUUGAAAGCCGGCCGAUACUGUCGGACUAGAGUCCGGAAGAGGCAAGUGGAAUUCUCGGUGUAGAGGUGAAAUUCGUAGAUAUCGAGAGGAACACCGGUGGCGAAGGCGGCCAACUGGACGAAUACUGACGCUGAGACUCGAAAGCGUGGGGAGCAAACAGG